AAAGCCCUGACUCUUGCGGGAAAGGGUGUAUUUAUUAGACAAAAAGCCAAUGCGGGCUUGCCCGGUCAUUCGGUGAUUCAUAAUAACUUGUCGAAUCGCUUCAGCUUCACGCUGGCGAUGCUUCAUUCAAAUUUCUGCCCUAUCAGCUUUCGACGGUAGGGUCGUGGCCUACCGUGGCGUUAACGGGUGACGGAGAAUUAGGGUUCGAUUCCGGAGAGGGAGCCUGAGAAACGGCUACCACAUCUAAGGAAGGCAGCAGGCGCGCAAACUACCCAAUCCUGACACAGGGAGGUAGUGACAAGAAAUAACAAUAUUCGGCUUUUACAAGUCGAAUAAUUGGAAUGAGUACAAUUUAAACCCCUUAACGAGUAUCCAUUGGAGGGCAAGUCUGGUGCCAGCAGCCGCGGUAAUUCCAGCUCCAAUAGCGUAUAUUAAAGUUGUUGCAGUUAAAAAGCUCGUAGUUGGAUUUCUGAUUCUGCUUGCGGCGGUCCAGCCAUAUGGUUUGUGUACUGCUCGCUCGCAAUCAUCCUUUCAGGGAGUGUGUCUACCCUUCACUGGGCCGGACCCACGACCUGGAUCGUUUACUUUGAAAAAAUUAGAGUGUUUAAAGCAGGCAAUUGCCUUGAAUACAUUAGCAUGAGUAAUAGGAUAGGACUCUGGUCCUAUUUUGUUGGUUUCUAGGACGAGAGUAAUGAUUGAUAGGGACAUUUGGGGGUGCUCGUAUUGAACGGCCAGAGGUGAAAUUCUUGGAUUCGUUCAAGACGAACUACUGCGAAAGCAUUCGCCAAGGAUGUCUUCUUUAAUCAAGAACGAAAGUUGGGGGAUCGAAGACGAUCAGAUACCGUCGUAGUCUUAACCAUAAACUAUGCCGACUAAGGAUGAGUGGAGUUUGCCUUUUCGACUCCAUUCGCACUUUAUGAGAAAUCAAAGUCUUUGGGUUCCGGGGGGAGUAUGGUCGCAAGGCUGAAACUUAAAGGAAUUGACGGAAGGGCACCACCAGGCGUGGAGCCUGCGGCUUAAUUUGACCCAACACGGGAAAACUUACCAGGUCCAGACAUAGUAAGGAUUGACAGAUUGAAGAUCUUUCUUGAUUCUAUGGGUGGUGGUGCAUGGCCGCUCUUAGUUGGUGGAGUGAUUUGUCUGGUUAAUUCCGUUAACGAACGAGACCUCGACCUGCUAAAUAGUUCGACGAACCCCUCGGGGUUCGCACGCAACUUCUUAGAGGGACUAUCGGUGUCUAGCCGAUGGAAGUUCGAGGCAAUAACAGGUCUGUGAUGCCCUUAGAUGUUCUGGGCUGCACGCGCGCUACACUGACACAUUCAUCAAGCUUACCACCUUGGCUGAGAAGCCUGGGUAAUCUUUUUAAAGUGUGUCGUGAUGGGGAUAGAUGAUUGCAAUUAUUCAUCUUCAACGAGGAAUGCCUAGUAAACGCAAGUCAUCAGCUUGCAUUGAUUACGUCCCUGCCCUUUGUACACACCGCCCGUCGCUACUACCGAUUGAAUGGUUU
rnacentral:rRNA from 1 species